GAGUUUGAUCCUGGCUCAGAUUGAACGCUGGCGGCAUGCCUUACACAUGCAAGUCGAACGGCAGCACGGGAGCUUGCUCCUGGUGGCGAGUGGCGAACGGGUGAGUAAUGCAUCGGAACGUAUCCUGGAGUGGGGGAUAACGUAGCGAAAGUUACGCUAAUACCGCAUAUUCUGUGAGCAGGAAAGCGGGGGACCUUCGGGCCUCGCGCUCUUGGAGCGGCCGAUGUCGGAUUAGCUAGUUGGUGAGGUAAAGGCUCACCAAGGCGACGAUCCGUAGCAGGUCUGAGAGGAUGAUCUGCCAUACUGGAACUGAGACACGGUCCAGACUCCUACGGGAGGCAGCAGUGGGGAAUUUUGGACAAUGGGGGCAACCCUGAUCCAGCCAUGCCGCGUGAGUGAAGAAGGCCUCGGUUG
rnacentral:rRNA from 1 species